rnacentral:rRNA from 1 species
GUUGAUCCUGCCGGAGGUUACUGCUAUCGAGGUUCGACUAAGCCAUGCGAGUCGAAUGUAGCAAUACAUGGCGUACUGCUCAGUAACACGUGGACAACCUACCCUUAGGUCGGGGAUAAACCCGGGAAACUGGGUAUAAUACCCGAUAGAUCUCGACUGCUGGAAUGCAUCGAGAUCGAAAGCUCCGGCGCCUAAGGAUGGGUCUGCGGCCUAUCAGGUAGUAGUGGGUGUAGCGUACCUACUAGCCUACGACGGGUACGGGUUGUGAGAGCAAGAGCCCGGAGAUGGAUUCUGAGACACGAAUCCAGGCCCUACGGGGUGCAGCAGGCGCGAAAACUUUACAAUGCUGGAAACAGCGAUAAGGGGACCUCGAGUGCCAGGUUACAAAUCUGGCUGUCGUGAUGCCUAAAAAGCAUUGCAUAGCAAGGGCCGGGCAAGACCGGUGCCAGCCGCCGCGGUAACACCGGCGGCUCGAGUGGUAACCGUUAUUAUUGGGUCUAAAGGGUCUGUAGCCGGCCGGAUAAGUCUCUUGGGAAAUCCAGCAGCUCAACUGUUGGGCUUUCAGGAGAUACUGUCUGGCUCGAGGCCGGGAGAGGUGAGAGGUACUUCAGGGGUAGGGGUGAAAUCUUGUAAUCCUUGAAGGACCACCAGUGGCGAAGGCGUCUCACCAGAACGGACCUGACGGCAAGGGACGAAAGCUAGGGGCACGAACCGGAUUAGAUACCCGGGUAGUCCUAGCCGUAAACGAUACUCGCUAGGUGUCGGCCACGGUGCGACCGUUGUCGGUGCCGUAGGGAAGCCGUGAAGCGAGCCACCUGGGAAGUACGGCCGCAAGGCUGAAACUUAAAGGAAUUGGCGGGGGAGCACCACAAC